UGUGGAGACUGAUAGAAAAUAAAAUCUUGUCAUGUAGAUUCUUCUGGGACUUCUCUGAGCAGGUUAUGCCUUCUGCAGAAUGCUGAUCUAGAGCUGUCUGAAUCUUUGUCACUUGAAUCACCAUUCCUAAGGCCCCAAGUGAAGUCGUUGGCAUCCAUUGACAGUGGUAGGUGUCUAAUUACAUCAUUCAAUGAAAACACCUAGUGUUUAAGCUGGUUCAGUGAUGAGUGGCUCACUCGAGCUUAGGAACAAUGGAGUAAUAAAAUAAUGGCCUCAGCGAUGACACAAUGAGCCGAAUGCAAGAAAUUCUUCCCCCGGCAUCUCCAUCUCUGACAGGAUCAACAAGUUAGAUGAACAGUAUUAGGGUCAGGCAGAGGACGGUCUCUUUUGCCUCAAAGUCCCUGGUGCUGUUGGCAACCAGCUAGAAAGGAAACCUGAAUGGGCCUUGUUCUUCCUCAGGCCUUUUCCACUAACUUUCAGACUCUCAGAGGUCUAGCCCCACUUCCCACCUGCCGCCUUCCCUUCACUCCUUGACUGUCUGCUCCCAUCUCUGCCUUCCUGUGGAACACUGGCUAUCCAACAAGGUCUGGCCCAAAACUCAGUUUACCUAUUCUGGAAUACCCUCAUAGUGUUGUCUAGAAUGAAACUCUGAGAAGACAGGGAACUCUUCCUGUUGUUGGGAUGAUUUUAUCUCAGCAGUGCUCAAAAUAUAAAUGUUAAGUGAAUGAAUAAAUGUACGAGGCUCAGGUAUUGGGGCUCUCCCUUCAUUAAUUAUCUAUAUUGCUGCCUGAUAAAUGACCCCAGAAUUUAGCCACUUAAAACAAUAAACUUUCAUUAUCUCACAGUUUCUGGGACCAGGAAUCUGCCUUAAAGUCUCUCCUAAGGCUGCAGUAAAAAUGUCGUUUCAUUUGAAGUUUCCACCCCAUUUGAAAGUUCAGUGGGGGAGCACCUGGGCCUAGCUGGCUCCUGCAGCUGUUGGCAGGAUUUGUUCCUUUGCUGGCUGUUGUACUGAAUGCCUCUUUCAGUUCUCUGUCACAUGGGCUUCUCCACAGGGAUGCUCACAGCAUAGCAACUGGCUAUUCUCAGAGCCAGUGAACAAGUGGAAGAAAGAAGAAGUGUGGAAACCAGAGUCUCAGGGGUA